AUUGCAAUAUUAUUUAAUAAUCCAUCAUUUAUUUUUAUAAGAUUUUCACACAAUAAGCAGGAUGUAUCUGAUAAAUAAGUGUUUUGACAAAUUAAGUUAUUUCCUAGUUUUCAUGAUUGCUGCCAAGUUCGCUCUAAAUUCCAUCUGCCACUCUAGGAUAUUGUACCUUUACAGCCACAUCUUGACCAUCUUUGUUCUUUCUCCAAUGUACUUGACCAAUGGAGACGGCAGCAAAGGGGCGGUUAUCGAAUUCAGCGAAAUUCUCACGCCAGGGGUCCAUAUCGUUCGCUUAAAUCUCGACUUCAAACGAAUAAAUGCGAAGGCAUCCGAAAGCCGACCGCGCCAUGCCUCCGGGCGUUCAGCGGCUCGAGGGAUUUGGACCGGGGCUGUCGACUAAAAACUGCGUCUCCAGUAUAGCAAACCGUAGAAUAUACAAAUUUAUCUUGGUAACUCUGGUGGAAAUGAGACUUAUAGUCAUCUUCGAGUACAUAACAAAAAUUAAGUAUUGUUUAUGUCAACAAAGGAAGAAUCUUCGUUAAAUUGAUGACACGGUUUAUGAAGUUUUUUAAAUAAUAAUAAUAAUUUUAAUAAAGAGAUAUUGAACUGGAAUACUUUUAAAACAUUAUCUACAAACUGUGAUAUUUUAUAAAUAAAUUUGUCUUUAUAAUA